AGAGGAGGAACGACUGGCCUCAUAGAGCGUACGGAAGAUACAACACAAAGGGACCUUCUGCUUCAGCCUCAGCAACACAGAACAGUUGGUCUCUCUGAAGUAUAAGCAGGUACAAUUCAGAGGGGCCCUCGCGGCUCUGAGCUCACAUACCAGUGCUGCUGUAGAAGGCGAGCCCGAAGGAAGGCUGGAAAUCUUCAACAAAAAACUGAGAAAGCACGAUCUCGUCUGUCCUUAAAGAAUCGUUCCCAUUCUUCCAGUAGAGCAUCAGGUCGUUUUCAUUCUCUCCAGCUCCAGAGAGCAAUUCUGUGUGUCCAGAGGGAAACUACUGAAGUCCAUGGAGCAAAGCGCAGUCACCGUGAUCCUGAAACACAGCUUACACCCUCAUAAAUCAAGCAAGAUGUCAGAAAGUCUAUACAAC